rnacentral:misc_RNA from 1 species
AUUAUUAUUAUUAUGAUUAUUAUUAUUAUUAUUCUCCUUGUCUUUUUUAUUAUUUUUUAAUGUCCUGAGGAGGAAGAAGGAAUCUUUAUGAUCAAAAUCGGGAAUAAUUUACUACUACGCUGUAUUACUACUGCAUAUAUAAUAAUGAUAAUGUAAUUACAGGCAAUAAAGUAGAAUUGAUUGGGGAAUGGUACCAACAGAGGAAAAUUAUUUAUUUCAUAAUCAAAUGCCAAUGAAUUAUAGGCUAUGAAGUAUGAACUCAAGAUGAGUUGGUCUGUGGUCCCAUGCAAUACACAGAGUCAACAGUGAUAGGAUAGCUGCUGCAACAAAUUCUUCAAUACAUGCCCACAAUCCCCAAAUUAUAACUGCUACUUAAUAUAUCUGUAAAAUACUGAGGUACACAUUG